AGUGAAUAGAUACCCAGGUAGUCCUAGCUGUAAACGAUGGACACUAGGUGUUGGAGGCAUCGACCCCUUCAUGCUGUUCUGCUAACGCGUUAAGUGUCCCGCCUGGGGAGUACGGCCGCAAGGUUGAAACUCAAAGGAAUUGACGGGGGCCCCGGCACAAGCGGUGGAGCAUGUUGGUUAAUUGGAUGAUACGCCAAGAACCUUACCAGGGUUUGACAUCAUUGGGACAGCUGGUGAAAGCCAGUCUCCGUAGCAAUACGGUCCAUUGACAGGUGGUGCAUGGUUGUCGUCAGCUCGUGUCGUGAGAUGUUGGGUUUAAGUCCCGCAACGAGCGCAACCCUCGCUGGAUGUUGCCAUCGGUAACGCCGGGAACUCUUCCAGGACUGCCCCGAGUAAUCGGGAGGAAGGAGGGGACGACGUCAAAUCGGCAUGCCCCUUACACCCUGGGCUGCAAACGUGCUACAAUGGCCGGUACAAAGGGUAGCUAAGCCGCGAGGUGGAGCCAAUCCCCAAAAGCCGGUCCCAGUUCGGAUUGGGUGUCUGCAACUC
rnacentral:rRNA from 1 species